GGAAGUGCUCUGACCAGCAGCUCUUGCAUGAGGCACCUACAGGCAGAGGAUUAAUUAGGUUUUCAGUUUCAGUUUCCCAGAAAGGAGGUGGGCUUUUUUUUCACCCUGCUUUAAAAGCCCUUGGGCCCUUCCCAGCUGGGUGCCAGCCAACUGUGGCUGCCUGGGACACUCCAUCUUAAGUCCCUGUGCCUCUGCUGUGUGUUACUGAGUGCCUAGGCCGUGCCAGCCUGUAUUCAUCUGUACUAUGACCUGAAGAGGCAGAGGCCAUCACUGUUGGUCCGGUCUCCACCUGGGGAAACUGAGGUUGCACAGGUGUCUCUGUGGUGACGAGCAGGGCUUCAUCCAGUGCCUCUGUCCCCACCGAGGGGACUAUGGGAGACAUGGAGGGUGUGUGAGCAACAGGUGAGACUGGAGCCAGCUGAAAACUGGGAGACCGACCCAGCCAACAAACAAUGUCGGUCUCUGUCUUGGCACCUGCAGGAAACAAGCUCCUACUUCCAGAAAAAGUGCUCCUGGGACUCCAGGAUACCAGGGCAUCUGGGACGCGGUGGUACAUGCCUGUAAUCCCAACACUUAGGCAGGAGGAUCACUCGAGCCCAGAAGAUCAAGACUAGUGUGAGCAACAAAGAUCCUUCCCUGGCACCGGUUCCAGGAGGACCUCGUUCUUAGGCAGCAUCUGUGUCUCUGUUUUGUAAGACACACAGAGUAUCCUUAACCCACUGCAGAUAUUUCCCUGGGUCCAUGGUCAAUCAACACCACCUUUCAGUCUCCAGCCUCUUAACCAGCCCAGGGCUGAGUGUUGUUUAUAGUAUUAAUAUGUUUCUGGCUGGGCUCAGUGGCUCAUGCCUGUAAUCCCGGCACUAUGGGAGGCUGAGGCAGGCGGAUCACUUGAGGUCAGGAGUUCAAGACCAGCCUGGCCAACAUAGUAAAACCCCGUCUCUACUAAAAAUACAAAAAUGAGCCGGGUGUGGUGGCGUGUGUCUAUAAUCCCAGCUACUCGGGAGGCUGAGGCAGGAGAAUUGCUUGAACCUGGGAGGUGGAGGCUACAGUGAGCUGAGAUCAUGCCACUGCACUCCAGCCUGGGCAAGAAAGUGAGACUCCAUCUCAAAACAAAGAAACAAACAAAGUAUUAAUAUGUUCCCCUUGAUCAGUGGGGUGGUUCACCCUUGUAAUCCCAGCACUUUGGGAGGCAGAGGCUGGCGGAUCGCUUGAGUCCAGGAGUUCGAGACCAGCCUGGGUGAACUAGCAAAACCCUGCCUGUACUAAAAAUACAAAAAUUAACUGGGCUUGGUGGUGCGAGCCUGUAAUCCCAGUGGAGGCUGAGACAGGAGAAUCCUUUUGUAAUGCCUGACCUUGUUUUUUUACUAACCCUAUUUUAACCUUGUUUUUACUAACCCUAUUUUUAAAUUUUCCCUUUUUGUCUCCUUAAUUACCUAGCCUUGUUUCCCAUAUGAGUAGACUCUCCCUUAGCUGGGAAAGCCUGACGAACGCCAUCUGGCCCCUUGAUUUACAAGACAUUAAGGGCUACUUACCCAACCCCCUUCCUCAAAGAGUUAACCUGCGUAAGCAGAUCCUCAGCAUUUCAAAGGAGCCCAAUUAGCUGAUAAGGUACUGGAACAAACAAUGUACGAAGUUCCCAGGAUUUUGCUCAAAAGCAUAACAACAUAAAGCCUUGAGUCUGUGUCUGGCAUAGCAUCCAUAUCUAACUCUUAUGAAGGAUUUAGAGCCCGGCACCUGGUUCCGUUGCUUUUUUUGUAACCAUUUGUCUUUUAAAUUGUUUAUUUCUCUGUAACCAUUUGUUUUUUGAUUCUUGCAUGUUUUUACUUCUGUAGAAUUAUUGCAUUUGAGCUCCGCUCCCCUUCCGAACCAAGGUAUAAAAGUAAAUCAAGCCCCUUCCUCGGGGCCGAGAGAAUUUUGGAAAGUCAAGCCUUCUCUUGGCUGCCGGCUUAAAUAAAGGACUCUUAAUUCGUCUCG
rnacentral:lncRNA from 1 species